rnacentral:lncRNA from 1 species
CAUGCUUGUUUUCUUCCUUUUAACACCCAACAACUUUUGCCAAAUGAGACUUAAGUACAUUAAUCACAUCAUACUCUUUCCCAAGCUGUCUCUGCUCACUAGAGUUUGAGUCUGUCGGUGAUUCUCCUAUAUAGAAGGCAUAGCUGAUACAAAUUCAAGACAGGAAAAGGCAAGGUGGAGAAAUCAAGACCCCAACAGAGGGCUGACCAGGUUACUCAGCAAUGCUGUGGCAGAAACACACAAAAGAGUCCGUGGCUUGUGAUUCACAGGCCAAGACGCUGCCUUGGCGCAGCACUCCCCGUGUUGACGUGGAAGGUGGUGAUGGCAGUGAGCAAAAAAGUGAUCCAUGCACAGAUGCAUUUGUGAACGCCGGAUGAAACAAAGUUAAAAUAGGACCCAGCGGAUGAAGUGGACUGAAACACUGAAUCUGAAACAUUGAUGAUCACUACAGCAAAGGGAAGAGCUCGGUAAAUUGUGCAUAUCGUUCUUAGAUCUUCCACCCAAAAGUAACACUUCCACUUACAUGUAUUGGCCACGAGACAGGAUUGUGCCAUGUUGCCCAGGCUGGUCUGGAACUCCUGGACUCAAGUGAUCCACCCACCUCGAACCUCAACUUCCUAAAGUGCUGGGAUUACAGGCGCGAACCACUGUGUCUGGCCUCCGGGUGGUUUUAAGUGGGAACUUUUAUUUCUCACACAUUCUUCUGUAUAUUCUAUAUUUUCUACAAGAAAUAUAUAUUACUUUUCUAAUCAGGAAAAAAAAUGAAUAUAUGCAUGUGCCUUUACAAAACUGUUCUCAUUCUGCAGAUGAGUGAAACCAAGGUAACAGAUGGGAAGGAAAUGACUCACGUAAGAUCACACAGCAAUCGAUGUCACAUUAUGACAAUGUUCAGGAAACUGCAUUUCCAUUUUUGCACCCCACUCUCUUGGGUCUGUGUUACCCACAGCUUUUCUAACAAGAAUCUCGUUGGCAUCUGACUUGAUCUGGGGACCUAGCACUACACUAUGCAGAAGGGGGCCCCCCCUCAGAAGCCCAGUAUCAGUUAGUAUGUGCUUAUCUGCAGGGGCUCACUGCUGUGGGAGUUUCAGAAGUAGAAGCCACAGUCCCUGUUCUCAAAGGCUUACAGAUGGGUACUCACAGUUGCACAUGAAGCAGGGAUGUCAGUGCUGUUGUGCAGACUCUGAAUGCUGUAAGAAUAGCAGGGGAAGGAACUGGUUGUCAGAGGAGAAACCAAGAACCGUUGGCACAAAAUCUUUUUACCAGGGUUGUUCACAAAAGAAAAAAUGCUGGAAGCUCUGCUCCUUUUAAUUUCCCCCAGCUACCCUGUGUAGGCACCUGAAGGUCAACAGUAUGAAGGAGAAGGGGGUAGAAAUGCACAAAAUAGUUCUCGUUUUGCAUAUUCCAUAGUUCAUAGUAUGUAUUGAAGGUCUUCUUUGACAAACCCCACUGAAGUUUCCUGAUUUCACCUUCACCAUGGCUAAAAGCAGCAGCUCGCCCCCACGCUUUGAUUUUUCCCUCCUGUACUUUCUCUUCCCCUUCUGUUUCUCUUGGUGAGGGGUCCAAAUUGGAAACUUUUUUGUCCCACAGCCCACCAUAAGGGUUCAUUCUGUGAACCUAUGUCUAUUGCAUCCCAGCUUACCUAACAGCUCUUUCCCCAAGAACCAAACUUUAAGUUCCUCUCAGCAGCACAGUAAAUCUUCAGAGGCUAAUACAUGUUUUUUUUUUCUUGAGAUGGAGUUUUGCUCUUGUUGCCCAGGCUGGAGUG